GCCUGGGUAGCUCAGAUGGUAGAGCAUCAGACCUUUAAUCUGAGGGUCCAGGGUUCAAAUCUUUGUUCAGGCG